CGGGGGGGGCAAGCGUUGUUCGGAAUUACUGGGCGUAAGGGGUUCGUAGGUGGCCAACUAAGUCAGACGUGAAAUCCCUCAGCUCAACUGGGGAACUGCGUCUGAUACUGAUUGGCUUGAGUGCAGGAGAGGAACGCGGAAUUCCAGGUGUAGCGGUGAAAUGCGUAGAUAUCUGGAGGAACACCGGUGGCGAAGGCGGCGUUCUGGACUGCAACUGACACUGAGGAACGAAAGCCAGGGGAGCAAACGGGAUUAGAUACCCCGGUAGUCCUGGCCCUAAACGAUGAAUGCUUGGUGUGGCGGGUAUCGAUCCCUGCCGUGCCGAAGUUAACGCGAUAAGCAUUCCGCCUGGGGAGUACGGUCGCAAGGCUG
rnacentral:rRNA from 1 species